rnacentral:rRNA from 1 species
GCAGCAGCCGCGGUAAUACGUAGGGUGCAAGCGUUAAUCGGAAUUACUGGGCGUAAAGCGUGCGCAGGCGGUUAUAUAAGACAGAUGUGAAAUCCCCGGGCUCAACCUGGGAACUGCAUUUGUGACUGUAUAGCUAGAGUACGGCAGAGGGGGAUGGAAUUCCGCGUGUAGCAGUGAAAUGCGUAGAUAUGCGGAGGAACACCGAUGGCGAAGGCAAUCCCCUGGGCCUGUACUGACGCUCAUGCACGAAAGCGUGGGGAGCAAACAGGAUUAGAUACCCCAGUAGUCCCUGUCUCUUAUAC